CGAUUGAUACCGUAGCAGCUUGCGAUAUGAAACAUAAACUGCAGAUUUCAAAGAA
rnacentral:rRNA from 1 species